rnacentral:lncRNA from 10 species
AGAAGUGCAACUUUGUAACUUCACUUUAGCCUCUGAUUGCAGGCCACCACUUCAUUUACAUGGGUGCGUUUUGUUCAAUUCUUUGUUCAAAACCCCAAGAAUCUGGACAACUUGCACUCAAGACCCUCUACGGGUUUGGCGAGCCAGAGACCAUCAAGCUUCAGAUGAUCAUGUGACAGGGUUUCCAGCCAGUUCCAGGUGAAGACACCACCCCUGGCCAUCAAGAAGUCACCCGGUCUCCACUAGACAGAGUAGGGUGAGAGUUCCGUGAUCUCCAACCGGUAGUGAUUAUGCCCCAAGUCAGCAUAAAGAAGUUACGGAAGAAAAACCAUCAGUCCCUCUGUCUCACAUAAAGACUUAUGGGGAUCACGUUUCUCAGAGGGGAGAUGAGGCAGGAGAAUAGGGUCUGGAGGCAGGGAACCUAAGGCCGUUUCACACUGACUUCUUAGAACUAAAUUGAAAGGAAAACCCUAAUUUUCCAUGCCUAAGUAACAAAAGGACCAGAGGCUACUCCCUUUGCAAACCCCCACCUUUUCUGUGUGGCAUAUGGGAAAUUGAAAGUACCUCUGAUUGAUUGUUUUCUGCAACCAAUCAGAUGUUUGCAUUGGAGUGUAACUUUGUAAUUUCACUUCAGUCUCUGAUUGGUUGCUGCAGUCUGGAAAUUCUGCAGGCCAAGUCUUCGUUUGCAUAGAAGUGCAACUUUGUAACUUCAUCUUAGCCUCUGAUUGGUUGCUUUCUGCAACCAAUCAGAUGUUUGCAUAGGCGUGUGACCUUUGUAACUUCACUUCAGCUUCUGAUUGGUUGCUUUCCACAACCAAUCAGACUGAUUGUGGGCCACCACUUCCUUUACGUGAGGUGAACACCAAGUGGCCAAUGGAAAACCUCAAGAGGGUAUUUGGACCUGAGAAGAUUCUGUAUCUGGGGCCCUUGAGCUGCUGCUCUGCCCACUCUCACAUGGUGGAGUGUAAUUUCACUUUGAAUAAAUCUCUGCUUUUGUUGCUU